CUACGGGUGGCUGCAGUGGGGAAUAUUGCACAAUGGGCGAAAGCCUGAUGCAGCAACGCCGCGUGGAGGAUGACACAUUUCGGUGCGUAAACUCCUUUUAUAUAAGAAGAUAAUGACGGUAUUAUAUGAAUAAGCACCGGCUAACCCCGUGCCAGCAGCCGCGGUAAUACGGGGGGUGCAAGCGUUACUCGGAAUCACUGGGCGUAAAGAGCAUGUAGGCUGGAUGACAAGUUGGAAGUGAAAUCCUAUGGCUUAACCAUAGAACUGCUUCCAAAACUGUCAUCCUAGAGUAUGGGAGAGGUAGAUGGAAUUUCUGGUGUAGGGGUAAAAUCCGUAGAGAUCAGAAGGAAUACCGAUUGCGAAGGCGAUCUACUGGAACAUUACUGACGCUCAGAUGCGAAAGCGUGGGGAGCAAACAGGAUUAGAUACCCUUGUAGUC
rnacentral:rRNA from 1 species